rnacentral:lncRNA from 1 species
UUUUUAAUAUCGGAACCGUUUGGAACCGUUUAGAACCGCCUGAACCGGUCCGGUUCUGGUUCUGGCGGUUCCGGUUCCACAGUUCUAAAGGGUGGAACCGACCCAGAACCGCGGAACCGGAACCGUAUAACCGGAACCGUUUAGAACCGCAGAACCGCCAGAACCGCGGUUCCGGUCACGGUUCCGGUUCGGAACCGUUAUUCUUCCAGCCUUAUUUUAUACUCUCAUUAAUAGGUGACACGAAUAUACAGUGCUCAUCAAAUAAAUCAAGAACAUGUUUUAAGCUAGAGAAAACAUUCAUUUAGCUCAUACAUAUCCUUAAUGCGUGAUUUUAUCUAAUAACUGUUGAGAUAACCUUGAGAGAAUCAUUUUCCUCUUUAUCCAAAUCCAAUAAUGGGGUUUUCAUAUCAAUUAAUAGAUGGCUAUAUUAGGUUAACUUGGACCUACCAAUCUUCUAAAAUUGGAUAUCUUCUAGAAAGACAUAAAAC